AGUGAACGCUGGCGGUAGGCCUAACACAUGCAAGUCGAACGGCAGCACAGUAAGAGCUUGCUCUUACGGGUGGCGAGUGGCGGACGGGUGAGGAAUACAUCGGAAUCUACUUUUUCGUGGGGGAUAACGUAGGGAAACUUACGCUAAUACCGCAUACGACCUACGGGUGAAAGCACGGGAUCUUCGGACCUUGCGCGAUUGAAUGAGCCGAUGUCGGAUUAGCUAGUUGGCGGGGUAAAGGCCCACCAAGGCGACGAUCCGUAGCCGGUCUGAGAGGAUGAUCAGCCACACUGGAACUGAGACACGGUCCAGACUCCUACGGGAGGCAGCAGUGGGGAAUAUUGGACAAUGGGCGCAAGCCUGAUCCAGCCAUACCGCGUGGGUGAAGAAGGCCUUCGGGUUGUAAAGCCCUUUUGUUGGGAAAGAAAAGCAGCAGGUUAAUACCCCGCUGUUCUGACGGUACCCAAAGAAUAAGCACCGGCUAACUUCGUG
rnacentral:rRNA from 1 species